rnacentral:rRNA from 1 species
GGGUGAGUAACACGUGGGUAACCUGCCUCAAACAGGGGGAUAGCCUUCCGAAAGGAAGAUUAAUACCGCAUAACGUAGUUUAACCGCAUGGUUGAAUUAUCAAAGGAGUAAUCCGGUUUGAGAUGGACCCGCGGCGCAUUAGCUAGUUGGUGAGGUAACGGCUCACCAAGGCAACGAUGCGUAGCCGACCUGAGAGGGUGAUCGGCCACAUUGGAACUGAGAUACGGUCCAAACUCCUACGGGAGGCAGCAGUGGGGAAUAUUGCACAAUGGGCGAAAGCCUGAUGCAGCAACGCCGCGUGAGUAAUGAAGGCCUUCGGGUUGUAAAACUCUGUCUUUGGGGACGAUAAUGACGGUACCCAAGGAGGAAGCCACGGCUAACUACGUGCCAGCAGCCGCGGUAAUACGUAGGUGGCAAGCGUUGUCCGGAUUUACUGGGCGUAAAGGAUGCGUAGGUGGAUAUUUAAGUCAGAUGUGAAAUACCCGAGCUUAACUUGGGUGCUGCAUUUGAAACUGGAUAUCUAGAGUGCAGGAGAGGUAAGUGGAAUUCCUAGUGUAGCGGUGAAAUGCGUAGAGAUUAGGAAGAACACCAGUGGCGAAGGCGACUUACUGGACUGUAACUGACACUGAGGCAUGAAAGCGUGGGGAGCAAACAGGAUUAGAUACCCUGGUAGUCCACACCGUAAACGAUGAGUACUAGGUGUAGGGGGUAUCGACUCCCUCUGUGCCGCAGUUAACACAAUAAGUACUCCGCCUGGGAAGUACGGUCGCAAGAUUAAAAACUCAAAAGGAAUUGACGGGGGCCCGCACAAGCAGCGGAGCAUGUGGUUUAAUUCGAAGCAACGCGAGAACCUUACCUAGACUUGACAUCUCCUGAAUAGCCGGUAACUCGGCGAAAGCCUUUUCGGGGCAGG